rnacentral:lncRNA from 1 species
ACAAUCAUUCGAAAGUGCCGAAAAGAUCGAAUUGACUCAGAUCCGCUUACCCUUCGAGCAAGAAAAGAAAGAAGAACUCGCUUUCGCUAGGCACCAAGGCUUCUUUGACUUCUAACUUCCCUUGAGCCUGGUUAAGAAAGGAAAGCCGGCCCAAUCCCAGCUUCUGAAAAAAGAGAAAAGAUCACAGCGGCAAGAUCUAAGAUCCUUGAUUUAAGUGAAGGAAUAAAACCAAC